ACUAUAAAUAGCAGCCACCUCUCCCUGGCAGACAGGGACCCGCAGCUCAGCUACAGCACAGAUCAGCACCAUGAAGCUUCUCACGGGCCUGGUUUUCUGCUCCUUGGUCCUGAGUGUCAGCAGCCGAAGCUUCUUUUCGUUCCUUGGCGAGGCUUUUGAUGGGGCUCGGGACAUGUGGAGAGCCUACUCUGACAUGAGAGAAGCCAAUUACAUCGGCUCAGACAAAUACUUCCAUGCUCGGGGGAACUAUGAUGCUGCCAAAAGGGGACCUGGGGGUGCCUGGGCUGCAGAAGUGAUCAGAGAAGAUGACUGAGGAAUACAACCACAACUGGAUGGACUUUUUCAAAAGAUGACACCUGCUUAUUUGCCUCAUUCAAAUUUCAAGAGAAUCAUUUACAGUUUAUUUUCAGCUGAACUGUAGAGAGUGAAGGAAGAAGCCUUUUUUCUUCACUCCUACAUGACCCAGGCAUUGAUCCAGGCAAUGAAGAUUCAGUGUAAAUAACCACCACUAACAAGACCAUGGCCUUUGGAACCUGUGCUAAGAGGCAUGGAUGAGCUCCCUCAGCAUGUGGAUGGAGACUGAAGAGAGGUCUGAAGGCUCAGUGUGGUGUCUCCAUUCUCUAAGAAGUUUGGAGGAGAAGCUGGAUACAGCAAAACAGACUGAGAAGGAGCAGCUGUUGGGAAAGGAGGAAAACUAGGAAAGCAUGGUGUUCCAGAAUCCCUGAUGGAGAUAUUGAUUAGUAGUAUCAGAUUCUGCUUAGCAGUUGAGGAGUUCACCUUUGGCUUAAGCAACAUGGAGUCAUUGACUAUCUCGUGAAGGUGGUUGCAGGAGAAGGUCUGGAGAACUAAAUGGAGCAGUGAUAAGAGAGAAUGGGAGAUGGUAUGAUAGGACUCCUGGACACCCCAGACAUCAAUCAAAACACCACAGACAAGAAGGUGUGGAUACAAAAACUAGCAGUUAGAAGAAAUAAUAGAAAAUGAACUCCAACUACUUCUGAAAAAAAAGUAAUGAGGGCAAUUAAUACAUUGAAGAAAGCCUCAAUAAGUACAACAGUGUAGUACUGACUUAUAUAUAGAAAAAACCUGAUCAGUGGAACCAAAUCCUCAGAAUUAGACAUAAGUGCAUAUGAGAAUUUUGUAUGUGAUAAAGGUUGUAUGUUAACGUAUUAAGUAAAAGACGGACUAUUCAACAAAUGGGAUUGGUACAACUGGGUGACCAUCUAAAAUAACAUCAUGUUGAAAACAUACUGUAUAUAUUACGGUAGGACAAAUUCCAAAUAUGCUAAAUAUUUAUAAACAAAUAAGGAAAAUGAUAAUAAUAAUAUUAACAUUAUCUGGUGAAUCCAUGGAAAAUUCUUUUAUAGCCCAAAGUAGGGAAAGCUGCAACAACAAGGAUGGAACUGGAGGUCAUUAUGCUAAGUGAAAUCAUUCAGGAACAGAAAGACAAACAUCACAUGUUCUCACUUAUUUGUGGGAUCUAAAAAUCAAAACAAUUGAAUUCAUGGAGAUAGAGAAUAGAAGGAUGGUUACCAGAGGCUGGGAAGGGUAGUGGGGAGGGGGGGAGUGAGGGGAGGUGAGGAUGGUUAAUGAGUACCAAAAAAAUACUUAGAAUGAAUAAGAGCUAGUAUUUGAUAGCACAACGGGGGACUAUAGUCAGUAAUAAUUUAGCUGUACAUUGUAAAAUAACCAAAAGAGUAUAAUUGGAUUAUUUGUAACACAAAGGAUAAAUGCUUGAGGGGAUGGAUACCCAAUUUUCCAUGAUGUGAUUAUUGCGCAUUGCAUGGCUGUACCAAAAUAUCUCAUGUACCCCAUAAUUAUAUACACCUACUAUGUACCCACAAAAAAUUUUUAAAAAGGAAUGAAAUAAAAACAUUUGAGUUUAAGAAAACCACAAAAAAACAAAGUAGGGAAAGCUCUUCAAAUACUAUGAAAUUGAGAAGACAACUAAAGAAAAUAUUAAUAAAGACAAGAACAUAAAUAAUUUCUUUGGCAGAACAUAAGCCAUCAUAAUCAGAAGAUAAAUAAGCUGGGAAAAAUAUUUGUAACUCAUAUCCUAGAUAACAUACUCAUUUUCCCUGUAUAUAAAAAGUUUCUCUAAUGUGAUAAAUAAAAACACAAUAAACCAGUAAAAAA